rnacentral:misc_RNA from 1 species
CAAGGAAAUGACACAGCAAGAGACCAUUACGUACACAGUUAGCUCUAGCUAGCCUAUUUUUUCUCUGGUUUCUUUUGGUCAAUCUAGCAUUAUGGGUGCUAUUGCCAAUUGUGUUCUGCAUGCUCUCUUGCUGUGUCAUUUCCUUGUGCUGGCUGAUCGUGUUAGUGGCGAUGAUAAGGAUGCUAAACACUUGUUUUUUCAUCGCCCUUUGUUGAGAGGAGGAGGCCUAGGCCAUGGCAUUUAUAAGAAAGGGUUUAAACAUGACGGUUUUGGUGGUGGCAUAGGUGGAGGUGCUGGUUUUGGUGGUGGAGUAGGUGGAGGAGGGGGUCUAGGAGGUGG